GACGAACGCUGGCGGCGUGCUUAACACAUGCAAGUCGAACGGAAAGGCCCUGCUUUUGUGGGGUGCUCGAGUGGCGAACGGGUGAGUAACACGUGAGUAACCUGCCCUUGACUUUGGGAUAACUUCAGGAAACUGGGGCUAAUACGGGAAGGGGGCUCCGGCGGCAGGGUGGGGGUGGGAAAGUUUCGGCGGUUGGGGAUGGACUCGCGGCUUAUCAGCUUGUUGGUGGGGUAGUGGCUUACCAAGGCUUUGACGGGUAGCCGGCCUGAGAGGGUGACCGGCCACAUUGGGACUGAGAUACGGCCCAGACUCCUACGGGAGGCAGCAGUGGGGAAUAUUGCACAAUGGGCGGAAGCCUGAUGCAGCAACGCCGCGUGCGGGAUGACGGCCUUCGGGUUGUAAACCGCUUUCGCCUGUGACGAAGCGUGAGUGACGGUAAUGGGUAAAGAAGCACCGGCUAACUACGUG
rnacentral:rRNA from 1 species